GAUGAACGCUGGCGGCGUGCCUAAUACAUGCAAGUUGAGCGAACGGACGAGAAGCUUGCUUCUCUGAUGUUAGCGGCGGACGGGUGAGUAACACGUGGAUAACCUACCUAUAAGACUGGGAUAACUUCGGGAAACCGGAGCUAAUACCGGAUAAUAUUUUGAACCGCAUGGUUCAAAAGUGAAAGACGGUCUUGCUGUCACUUAUAGAUGGUUCCGCGCUGCAUUAGCUAGUUGGUAAGGUAACGGCUUACCAAGGCAACGAUGCAUAGACGACGUGAGAGGGUGAUAGGCGACACUGGAACUGAGACACAGUCCAGACUCCUACGGGAGGCAGCAGAAGGGAAUCUUCCGCGAUGGGCGAACGCCUGAUGGAGCAACGCCGCGUGAGUGAAGAAGGUCUUCGGAUCGUAAAGCUCUGUUAUUAGGGAAGAACAUAUGUGUAAGUAACAGUGCCCAUCUUGACGGUACCUAAAAAGAAAGCACCGGCUAACUACGUG
rnacentral:rRNA from 1 species